UUGUUUUUGCCAUGUAACUAACUGUAAACAAUAGUGAUUUCAUUUAAGAAGUUGACCACAUGGUCAUAACACAUAAGCUCUAUCAUGGAAUAGUAGGCAAUUCUAUCAAAUUGUAUUUUGACAAUACACAGAUGGGCAAGUCUACACAGGUUACCAUGUCAUAACAUUCGGGUCAUCUUAUCGUAAUCAACAACGACCUUUAAGAGGAUCAAAAUAAAUGAAUUGGCUAGGAGACAGUCUGUAUAUUCCAUAAAUUUAAAGCCAGCCUGUGUAUAUACUUAUACAUUGUAACAUUUGUAUUGAAGAAGCAAUUAAUACAGGUUAUAUUGAAUUACUGGAAAAAUCACUUUACUUUGUGCUGGACAAUUCUAGUCAUUCACAAAUUAAAGUGAAUUCUUCAAUUCAGUUUAUAGAUUCACAUGAAAUGAACAUUUUUAACUGUCUAAAAUAGCUAACUGGAUAAAAAAAAUAAAUAAAUAACAGUGUUCUUUAAUCCUAGAAAGUAUUCAGUACCAAACUGGCAAUAGCUGGACAAGAGACAGCCAUCUUUCUCAAUCCUUUCACUGUAUAGAUAAGGAAAAGGGAGUCCCAAGAGGUCAGAUUUCAUUGUUCAGGUCACUCCAUCACAUAAGAGCAAAUCCCCCAUCUUGUUAGUAGGAUCAUAGUGGAAACCACUGUCACAGCUUCCAAUACAGGGCUUGUUCCAUUACACUGUGUUGUUGCUGACCACCUUCAUUUCCCUUCAUUUGCACUUCGUGUGACUGCCCUCCACCUGGCCCAGAAUUUCUAAGUCUUGCAACAUUGAGAAUGUAUUUCAAGGACAUAUGUUGCCUAGCUGGGUCUGUAAAGAAAUACUAUUACUACUAACAAUAAAAUCUUAUCUGGAACCACAGUAAAAAAAAAUAAUAAUAAUAAUAAAUAGAAUAAAAUAAAAUAAAAUAAAAUAAAAAUCAGUGGAUGAGUUUUUCAGGCAAUUUAAAACUUCCUUGUGGAAUCCCUGAAGUCUUUUCAAAGGUCCAAGCUAUCUAAAAAGCAGAGUUGGAAAGCUACUCAAGCUAUUCUAAAUUAAGGGAAGUGGAUAUUUGGCAACAGGAAUUCUGGAUUCUGCCGUUGUCCCUGAGCUUGAAGAGAGCCGGCUGACAUAGCAAAGCAUGACUUGGGCAUUCUUAUGGGCCUUAAUAGUGUUAGGGGUUAUCUUGUUUUGUUUUGAUCACAAUCAAGCACUAAGGAAUUACCUCAAUAAGAGAUUACUAUAGCUCCUAGCUCAUCCAAGACAGAUAUGAUAGACAGUUGGGGGAGAGGGGCUCUCAAACUUUCUUUGCCUUCUUUGUCACCUUAUAUGCAUUUCAACAUUUUAAAAAUUAUAUACCUAUGUAUGUAAGUAAGUAUUUUCUCCUGAGGGGGUUUGGUCUCCAGCAUCUCAGCUAUGACUCCUGCAGCUUAGGGACCUGACCUUGGGAAACCAGCAGACAAAUUUUUCUUUUUAUUAACAUAGUUUAUGUUUCAGGCACUGGCCAGCCAUAAAAACAUUCACACAUUUCAUCUGCAAUGCGUCACGUUCCUCCUAUUCAUGACUCCAAGUCCCCUCCAUAUUUCAAUUUCUCAGUAGUUCUUCAGUGUUUAUUUCACAUCCUCAGUCUAUCAUGAAGCCCUGUCCAACUCACACAAAGGAGACGGAGAUUGCUUCCUCCUUAUGGCACUUUGCUCGGACUCCUUUUAUCAUACUUGGGUUUACCAACUUGUCUUUUCUCUGCUCUACCUUCUACUCUUCUCCACAACAACACUUCUAUGUUUAAGAUAGUUGUUCCAUUACUUACCUAUGUAUCCACAAAAGCAACUAGCCUGGCGCUAUGAAAACGGAAUGGACUUUGGGAAAGAUGAACUGAAGACAAAUCCUAGCCUUAUAAUUUUUUUUAACCUCAUAUGUUGGUGAUGUGACUUUUUUGUAUCUCAAUUACCCCAACUACAAAAUGGGGAGAAGAGCUAUUUGUAAUACCUUGGCUAAGACUGCAAAUAAUGCAUGUAAGAUCCUCAACCCUGAACUGGUAAAGGAGGGAUAUCAUUAUGAUUAUCAGUUAAUGUUUAACCAACAAAUUAAAUAUCAUCAGUUUAAUGCACAUAGCAUGGAGCUUUUAUCUGCUUUCUGGUCUGUACAUUACUGUGGCUACAGGAAGUCUUCCCAGCAGGCAUCGAGGGAUACAUGGCCCCAAGUUUGGCCUGUAAACUGGUUUGUAAAAGGCAGAUUUUUUUUUUCCGCCCAAUCUGUUUUGUAAUCCUUUGCACACCUAAGGCAGUGCAAUAUGAUGGAAAGAACAAUUUGGAGCAAGAAACCCUGGUUUUUAACCUAAGCUUUAACUGAUUGCAUGACCCUGAGGAAGUCAGACAUUUGCAUUCUCAGUUUUCACAUGCAUAAGAUGAGGAGAAUCCGGCCACAUGUACCUCACAGGCUUUCUGUGGGAGCAGAGAGACUCAUAGAAGUUGGAGCCAUCUGGAAACUGUACAGAACAAUACAAAUAUGGAUUAAACAUCUUUUUUAAUUUUUAAUAGGUAAUAUAUAAACUUUGCAUCUAAUUCAAAAAAUACAAAUGCACAGUAACAGGCAAGUCCUCUCCCAGUCUUCUUUCCAGCCACUCAGAUCCCUCAUUCAGGACAGGCAUCAUCAGUUUUUAGUUUAUAUUCCUACAGAUAUUAUGUUUAUAAGAAAUUUAUUACAUACCUUUUAAUAACUCUUCAACUGCCCCCCAGGCCUUCCUCCAGCCUACGGUUCCACUUAACACCCUGGAAGCCAGCAACACCAGAGCUGACACUUACAGUUGGCCUACUUGCUCUCUUAACCGUAUUUACUACCAAGAGUCACUUGGUCACUGAGAAAAAUUCUGUCACAAGUCUGAAAAGACCAUCAUUCUCAGCACGCAAUGCCGCAGGGAACCCAGGACCCCAUGAAGCCUGAAGUUGCUACAUCUUCUGCUCAGAACCAUAACAACUUAAAUGGUCCCUAUGCUCACACAUUCCAACCAAAGCUGCGAUCCAUGGGCAAUCAAUUGUUUUUGUUUUCUUCUACAAGGCUUGCUUAGUUUAGAUGUAUUUAAAAUGACUUCUUUGGAUUUUCCCCUAUGUUAGCUUGAAACAAGUAUACCUGAAGCAAUCUGAAUCUUUGGCUGACACGUCUAUGAUAUUUACAUCCUACUGGAUUCACAAGGUUAUGGCUCAGAUGGAUUGCAGGGUCCGUGGGACAGAGCGCUUUCGAAUUUUUAGGUGAGAAGUCUGCGUUACAUUCUGUAGCUUCCAUAUCAGAGAGUCUCGCUAAUCUUCAACUACUCCGAAUGUGGUAAGCCCUGAAACUUCUUCAAGAUUGUAUUCUUUAAAGCCUUCUGGGAGGUACAUCCUGAACUUCAAAGAUCGUGCCUCGAAGGAUCAAGAUUACCAUUAUAUUGUCACUUCAUCAUCUAGGUUAGCUGCCCUAUGAACAAAAUUCCUUUAGUAAGAAUGGAGCCAGCAUGGGACGCCUGAGUGGCUCAGCGGUUGAACAUCGGCCUUGGGCUCAGGGCCUGACACCGGAUUCCCAGGAUCGAGUCCCACCCCACAUCGGGCUCCUUGCAUGAGAGCCUGCUUCUCCUCCCUCUGACUAUAUCUCUGCCUCUCUUUCUGUGUCUCUCAUAAAUAAAUAAAUAAAAUCUUAAAAAAAAGAAUGGAGCCAAUGUAAAAAUUCAAAUUUCUUUUCACACAAGAAACAAUGUAACGGGGCACCUGGGUGGCUCAGUGGUUGAGCGUCUGCCUUUGGCUCAGGUCAUGAUCCCGGCCGGGGUCCUCGGAUCGAGUCCCACAUGGGGCUCCCCACAAGGAGCCUGCUUUUCCCUCUGCCUAUGUCUCUGCCCCUCAUAAGCAAAUAAAUAAAAAUCUUUAAAAAAAGGAAAGGAAAGGAAAAGAAACUGUGUAUCAGUCGGGAUCCAUCAGAAAACAGAAAUCAGAUAAAGGGCUAGCUAGCAUCCAAGAUCUAUAAAGAAAUCAGAUCUGUUUUUUAAAAACAGGAUUCAAUAUAACCAAGCAUGAAAUUGGAAAGGGCACAGGAGGGGCAAAAAAGGGGGGGUGCACUGAGGUCUCACCGAGGUAGUAGGGGAGAAAGUAGUGGUUCCCACCGCACCCCAGAGGGGAGGUGGGAUUGUUAAAGGUGGGAGGCAGAGCAGAAGCCUGGAGGAAUUGGCGGAGGGGAGGCCCCAUCGGGCUCAUGCUGCCGUCUCAGAGGGGGCCCCACUGGCCUGGGAACCCCGACCGAACCCCGACCCCCACCCUCCAAAGGCCCGCAGCGUGUCCCUGAGAGGGUGUCAUGACGCUGCCUGGGCCCCUCUGCAGCUGCUGCAAAAUCCUGCCACUGCCAAGGGCAGAAGCACUGCGGAGGGAGGUGUUCCUUCUCUCCCUACAGCCUGGCACCCUGCCUGCCCUCACCCCCCGGGGGAAACCUGACCCC
rnacentral:lncRNA from 1 species